UCUCUUUCUCUCUUUAAUCUACCAUUGUCUUUCACUCUAACGAUUUAGGGUUCACUCUAAGUUGCGAUUUAAUGUGAUAUCCGAUUGCGAAAAUUUUUGUGCGAAAUAUUUGUGCAUUGCGAAAAUAGUUGUGCGAAAUCAGUCUCUGCAUUGCGAAAAUAGUUGAUAUCCGAUUUUAAUUCCUCUAAGUUUGAUAUUUGUGCGAUUUUAAUGUGAAUUUCAGCAAUUACAACGCGAAUUGAAGCGUGUUUGUCGCCGAAUCUCCUGACAAAAGAUAUGCCAAGGGCCAAGCGUUACCAAAACUUGCAAAAGUCAGUUCAACCAGCAUCUACUUCACAAGGUGUAGCACAACCUUUAUCAACAACUGAGUCAACACCUUCACAUCAGACUGCAUCAGUUAGGACAACAUCACAGCCGGCCCCGUCAGUUCGGGCUGCAGCACAGCCAGCUCAUUCGGUUCAGGCCACAUCACAGCCGGCCCCAUCAGUUCGGACUGCAGCACAGCCGGCCCAUUCAGUUCAGGCCACAUCACAAUUGGAUCCAUCAGUACAGGCAGCAUCACAGCCGACACAAUCCAAAAAGCGUCAUGGACGUGAGUGUCCGCAACAUUGGACAGUUGAUGCAAUAGAUAUGCCAAGGGCCAAGCGUUGCCAGAACUUGCAAAAGUCAGUUCAGCCAGCAUCUACUUGACAAGGUGUAGUACAACCUUUAUCAACAACUGAAUCAACACCUUCACAUCUUGAUGAUACGCCCAGUUGGUAUCAUUUUUUCAACCGACACCUUCAGUCCAGGCCGUAGCACAUCAGACUGCAUCAGUUAGGACAACAUCACAGCCGGCCCCAUCAGUUCGGGCUGCAGCACAACCGACUCAUUCAGUUCAAGCCACAUCACAGCCGGCCCCGUCAGUUCGGGAUGCAACUCAGCCGGCUCAUUCAGUUCAGGCCACAUCACAGCCUGCCCCGUCAGUUCAGGCAGCAUCACAGCCGACACAAUCCAAAAAACAUCCUGGACGUGAGUGUCCGCAACAUUGGACAGUUGAUGCAAUAGAUUCGCAAGGAGCUACCAAAAAACUCAAAGUAAAGGUUAAGGAUGUGAUGUAUUUAUCCGACGAAAAAUGUAUUGUGGUUGAAUUUGAUGAUAUGGAUCAGCCAAUUGGAGAAGGGCAAGGUGUUCUUGCAGGCUUUUGUGGAAUUUUAGCAACCGACUGCUCCUUAUUUCCAAUUCACUUCAACAAAUGGCCAGAUUUACCUAAGUAAUACUUCAAUUGUUGCUUUGAUCGAAUUAUAAAGCCACGAUUCUGUUUUAAGACAACUGAGUUAAAUGCACGAGCAUAUGUAUAUAGUUCUAUUGGAAAGAAGUGGAGUUCAGGAAGGCAAAGGUUGUGGUAUGAGUUCAAUGACCCACUUAAGACCAAAGCAGAGAUUAUGGAUAAUGUUCCAUCAGGGAUUCCACGGGAUCAAUGGACUUCUUAUGUUGCUUACCGUUUUAACGAAAAGAUAAUGGAAAUGAGUAAAAGAAAUGCUGAAAUUCGGAAGAAACAAACUGUUGCACACACUGGUGGUUCCAAACCAAACUCCAGAAGAAGAGCUAAAAUGAUGGCUGAAUCUGGACAAAACCCUGGACGAGCGCAACUCUAUCUUGCUACUCAUAAGAAGGAAGAUGGGUCAUAUGUUAAUGAAGCAGCAAGAGAAAUAUGUGAAAAAAUUGAGCUAGUUGUAAGUCAAAGCGCCACAGAUGAGUCUGAAGUUUCACCAAAUGAUGUCGUUGGUAAGGUGCUAGGAAAAGAGCAUUCUGGAAGGGUUAGGUGCUUGGGGUUAGGAGCUAUCCCGAGUAAAGUUUUUGGACAAACAAGACGUCGUUUUGGAGGAAUAAAUUCUUCAGUUGUGAUAAUGGUUCAUGUUCGUCCAAAUGUGAAGAGAAGUACAAUCAGAUUGUAAAUGCUCACAAUCAAAGCCAAGAGAACUAUGCUCAAAUGAUGACUGCACACCUCCAAAUGAUGAAUGCUUUCAAGACAUAUAUGAUUAUGAAAGAAGGGACAAUACCUGAACAAUUUGCUGGGAUUUCGUUUCUCCUCCUCCGGUAGCGUCAAGUGAUGCAGCUAGCGGAUCCAUUUCACCUAUGGGCGUAAGAGGAUCAUCUAGUGAUAGUAAUCUUAAUGAAAAUCAUUGAAUUUCUUUGCAAAUGUAAUAGAUGAUUGAGUAUGAUACUUUACUUGAAUGGUUGAACUAGAUAUUUUGUGUUUAGUUUAGUUUUUGAGAUUAAUGACAAUACUAUCUGCUUAUGAUUCUAUAAUAUGUGGAUGUUACUUAA